CCUACGGGGGGCAGCAGUAGGGAAUAUUGCUCAAUGGGGGAAACCCUGAAGCAGCAAAGCCGCGUGGAGGAUGAAGGUUUUCGGAUUGUAAACUCCUUUUGUUAGAGAAGAUAAUGACGGUAUCUAACGAAUAAGCACCGUCUAACUCCGUGCCAGCAGCCGCGGUAAUACGGGGGGUGCAAGCGUUACUCGGAAUCACUGGGCGUAAAGAGCGCGUAGGCGGGAUAGCAAGUCAGAUGUGAAAUCCUAUGGCUUAACCAUAGAACUGCAUUUGAAACUGUUAUUCUAGAGUAUGGGAGAGGUAGGUGGAAUUCUUGGUGUAGGGGUAAAAUGCGUAGAGAUCAAGAGGAAUACUCAUUGCGAAGGCGACCUGCUAGAACAUAACUGACGCUGAUGCGCGAAAGCGUGGGGAGCAAACAGGAUUAGAUACCCUUGUAGUC
rnacentral:rRNA from 1 species